GCCUCUGUAGCUCAACGGAUAGAGCACUGGUCUUCGGAACCAGGGAUAGGGGUUCGAUUCCCUUCAGAGGCA
rfam:Candidatus Roizmanbacteria bacterium RIFOXYA1_FTLL_41_12 rifoxya1_full_scaffold_209, whole genome shotgun sequence.